rnacentral:rRNA from 1 species
GACGAACGCUGGCGGCGUGCUUAACACAUGCAAGUCGAACGGAAAGGCCCCAGCUUUCUGGGGUUCUCGAGUGGCGAACGGGUGAGUAACACGCGGGUGAUCUGCCCUGCUCUCUGGGAUAAGCCUUGGAAACUGGGUCUAAUAUCGGAUAGGACCUUUCUUUCCGGUGUGUGCAGGAGAGUUGUUCGGUGUUGGAUGGGCGUGCGGCCUAUCAGCUGGUUGGUGGGGUAAUGGCCUACCAAGGCGGUGACGGGUAGCCGGCCUGAGAGGGUGUACGGCCACAUUGGGACUGAGAGACGGACCAGACUCCUACGGGAGGCAGCAGUGGGGAAUAUUGCACAAUGGGCGCGAGCCUGAUGCAGCGGCGCCGCGUGGGGGAUGACGGCCUUCGGGUUGUAAACCCCUUUCGGCAGGGACGAAGCUUUUGUGACGGUACCUGAAUAAGAAGCACCGGCUAACUACGUG